rnacentral:lncRNA from 1 species
GUGCAUAAACCGUUACUAUUAGAUUCUUAAAACAUGGCUAUAGAAAAACAAUGAUGUUUAUGCUCAUUAACGUAACAUCUUUGUUAUUUUUUGUCUAGAGUGAGAUCAUAACCCAUUGUAUUCUAAUGCAUUGUAUAAUUGAUUUAGCAUUAUUGUGAAGAAAAAAAAUGUGAGAGGUUACGUAUUAGAUUAGUUUAUUAGAUAGAAUGAUUAGAGAAUAGAAAUUAAACCUUUUUUAGAGGUGUCACAUAGGCACAAUCCUAGCAUUAGAGAUAGUCAAGUUUAGUUUACAAAGAGAAGAAGAUAUAGAUAGAUAGAUGCUCCAAAGAUGCGACACCCAUCUUGUUCCUCAGCUCCUUAAACUUGUCAUGCUUCACAAAUUUUGCUGGAACGUCUGCUUCAUAUAUAGCAGUAGGACAAUGUAACGGUUGUAGUCUCUUUUUAUUUACUUGAUCUCGUGAUUCCUUGU